rnacentral:lncRNA from 1 species
CACAGUGCUCCUGGAAGCCCAGGUGGGAAUUAGGGAGGCGGGUGGGGCAAGGACUUCUUCCUUUGUGGCCAUGGCCACGCUCGGCCGUGGCCUCUGGGGCCUGGUGGAGUGCUGCGGCUGCUUCCUCGGGGUCUGUGUUCAAGACCCUCCAGGCGGGCUGCUGAUUGCACGUCCUUAGGGAAACCAGGAAAGUGGGGCCUGCUCCUGGCCUGCUCCACCUGGGGCAGGUCUCAGGCAUCCCCAGGCCUCCUCUUCCCCAAUGAGCCUUCCAGCAAGAGCGAGGAACAGGAACGUGGUCCUAAAUGUCAGAGCGCCUGACACCCAGAGUUUUCAUUCUUCCUCCCGAGGACAGGUUUUCCUGAAGCCACACAGGGAGACCCGGUCUCAGGCCCCAGCUAAAGCUCAGGCUGGUGCGGUCAUGGCUGCUCUCCGUGGCUCGGGCCCUGAGCUGGGAGGAAAGUGAGGUUGGAAGUCAGUCUGGUUGCGUUAUGGCUUCCAGCGCCACUUUUUCCUAGGCCACGCUGGCGGGCAUUUAUUUUCCAUCCCAGGGUCAGUUAGAGAAUCCAGAUGGUCUUCUCAUGUGAUGAAAACACAUGUUCAAAACAAAAACUCAAGUGGGCUGCUUUAUUGAAAUCGUAUUUUGGAACUUGUAUCCAGAAAAUAUUUGAUUCAGUUUAUUCAGAAGUUUCUCUUGGGCAAUCCUGCUGUCCAUCACCUGUGACUUUCCUCUCCCAGUCAACAUUCGGGAGGCAUACCUCUAAGUAUUUAUUUGGAUGCAAGAAUGAAGAAGUGCUGAUUUCAAACUCUG